rnacentral:rRNA from 1 species
GACGAACGCUGGCGGCGUGCCUAAUACAUGCAAGUAGAACGCUGAAGGGAGAGCUUGCUCUUCUGGACGAGUUGCGAACGGGUGAGUAACGCGUAGGUAACCUGCCUGGUAGCGGGGGAUAACUAUUGGAAACGAUAGCUAAUACCGCAUAACAGUAAAUGUUGCAUGACAUUUGCUUAAAAGGUGCAAUUGCAUCACUACCAGAUGGACCUGCGUUGUAUUAGCUAGUUGGUGGGGUAACGGCUCACCAAGGCGACGAUACAUAGCCGACCUGAGAGGGUGAUCGGCCACACUGGGACUGAGACACGGCCCAGACUCCUACGGGAGGCAGCAGUAGGGAAUCUUCGGCAAUGGACGGAGGUCUGACCGAGCAACGCCGCGUGAGUGAAGAAGGUUUUCGGAUCGUAAAGCUCUGUUGUAAGAGAAGAACGAGUGUGAGAGUGGAAAGUUCACACUGUGACGGUAUCUUACCAGAAAGGGACGGCUAACUACGUGCCAGCAGCCGCGGUAAUACGUAGGUCCCGAGCGUUGUCCGGAUUUAUUGGGGCGUAAAGCGAGCGCAGGCGGUUAGAUAAGUCUGAAGUUAAAGGCUGUGGCUUAACCAUAGUACGCUUUGGAAACUGUUUAACUUGAGUGCAAGAGGGGAGAGUGGAAUUCCAUGUGUAGCGGUGAAAUGCGUAGAUAUAUGGAGGAACACCGGUGGCGAAAGCGGCUCUCUGGCUUGUAACUGACGCUGAGGCUCGAAAGCGUGGGGAGCAAACAGG